UACAGAGGUGGCAAGCGUUGUUCGGAAUUACUGGGCGUAAAGGGCGCGUAGGCGGUUCGGUAAGUCCUGUGUGAAAUCCCUCGGCUCAACUGAGGAACUGCACGGGAGACUGCCGGGCUUGAGUUCGGGAGAGGGAAGCGGAAUUCCGGGUGUAGCGGUGAAAUGCGUAGAUAUCCGGAGGAACACCGGUGGCGAAGGCGGCUUCCUGGACCGGCAUUGACGCUGAGGCGCGAAAGCCAGGGGAGCAAACGGG
rnacentral:rRNA from 1 species